GUGUCAGCCGCCGCGGUAAUACCAGCUCUCCGAGUGGUAGGGACGAUUAUUGGGCUUAAAGCGUCCGUAGCCGGCUUAGCAAGUCUCCUGUUAAAUUCAGCGACCUAAUCGUUGAGCCGCGGGAGAUACUACUAGGCUAGGAGGCGGGAGAGGUCGACGGUACUUCCGGGGUAGGGGUGAAAUCCUAUAAUCCCGGGAGGACCACCAGUGGCGAAGGCUGUCGACUAGAACGCGCUCGACGGUGAGGGACGAAAGCUGGGGGAGCGAACCGGAUUAGAUACCCGGGUAGUCCCAGCCGUAAACGAUGCGGGCUAGGUGUUGGAGUGGCUACGUGCCACUUCAGUGCCGCAGGGAAGCCAUUAAGCCCGCCGCCUGGGGAGUACGGCCGCAAGGCUGAAACUUAAAGGAAUUGGCGGGG
rnacentral:rRNA from 1 species